AAGCAUACCUCUAAAAGUGUAAAGUAUACAAAUACGACUAACACUCAUUUACGUCAGGUCAAAGUGCAGCCAAUGGUAGGGCCGAUGAUGGGUUACAAUCUAAAUACAGACACAAAUUAUGACACUAAAAGUCCUAUGAAGGUGGACUUGGACGUAAUAACAAUACAAAAUUAUAAUGAAGUAGAAUCUAAGACAUGCACACAUCGCCCGUCACUCUCGCCCAAAGGCG
rnacentral:rRNA from 1 species